rnacentral:rRNA from 1 species
UACCAGCACCCCGAGUGGUCGGGACGUUUAUUGGGCCUAAAGCAUCCGUAGCCGGUUCUGCAAGUCUUCCGUUAAAUCCACCUGCUUAACAGAUGGGCCGCGGAAGAUACUAUAGAGCUAGGAGGCGGGAGAGGCAAGCGGUACUCGAUGGGUAGGGGUAAAAUCCGCUGAUCCAUAGAAGACCACCAGUGGCGAAGGCGGCUUGCCAGAACGCGCUCGACGGUGAGGGAUGAAAGCUGGGGGAGCAAACCGG